UCACUUCCCACCUCUUUUUCAACCAAUUGCAGACGCCGCCCUCUUCCACUUGCUUACAUAUUUUCUCAAUCUUUUUUUAAUAUUAUCCCGCAUCUCCACCACCUAAGUUAUCUGUGCAGCCCCCACCUCCUCCUUCUCUCUGCCACCUAAGUUCCCAGGUUUUAUUUAAAAUUGCUGAAAAGUGUUGCAUUUAUUUUCGUUAUUAUCUGUUUUAAAGUGUUGAUAUAAUCAUGUUUGUAUCACCGUUAAUAGAGCUUCAAUUUUGUAAGAAUUGUCUGUUUCUUUUCUUCCUCGAUUUUUCUCAGUAUUGCUG
rnacentral:lncRNA from 1 species